rnacentral:rRNA from 1 species
UACGGAGGAGGCAAGCGUUAUCCGGAAUUAUUGGGCGUAAAGCGUCCGCAGGUGGCACUUCAAGUCUGUCGUCAAAGACUGGGGCUUAACCCUGGAAAGGCGGUGGAAACUGUAGGUCUUGAGUAUUGUAGGGGUAGAGGGAAUUCCCGGUGUAGCGGUGAAAUUCGUAGAUAUCGAGAGGAACAUCGGUGGCGAAGGCGGCCUUCUGGACGGUGACUGACGCUGAGAUGCGAAAGCGUGGGGAGCAAACAGG